AUUGAACGCUGGCGGCAGGCCUAACACAUGCAAGUCGAGCGAGCGGCGGACGGGUGAGUAAUGUCUGGGGAUCUGCCUGAUGGAGGGGGAUAACUACUGGAAACGGUGGCUAAUACCGCAUACUAUCGGAUGUACCCAGAUGGGAUUAGCUAGUAGGUGGGGUAAAGGCUCACCUAGGCGACGAUCCCUAGCUGGUCUGAGAGGAUGAUCAGCCACACUGGGACUGAGACACGGCCCAGACUCCGACGGGAGGCAGCAGUGGGGAAUAUUGCACAAUGGGCGCAAGCCUGAUGCAGCCAUGCCGCGUGUAUGAAGAAGGCCUUCGGGUUGUAAAGUACUUUCAGCGGGGAGGCGUUACCCGCAGAAGAAGCACCGGCUAACUCCGUGCCAGCAGCCGCGGUAAUUC
rnacentral:rRNA from 1 species